UGUACGUUUGUUCUGACGGAUCCGCGAGCGGACGUCACACGCACACCCGACAAUAUUCAAUAGCCGCGUACAACAGUAACGCAUUGCGGACGAAAUCCCGGCAGACGCGAAAACCGAUCCGUUCAAAAACAAUUCAAUCGACUUACACAGUGAUCUGAAAAACAUUUCAAUUCUCCGACUUCGAAAUACGAUAAUUAUUCCGAUUCCGCAUAUAAC